CACAGAUUCACAGGCCAACAGCGGGGUGGGAACUGGGAAGCGUCUUUCGGAUAGCGCGAGCGCAGCAGCCGGCCGCUGAAACCCGCAGCCGCCUCACUCGGUCGUCGUCCUCCCCGCGCGUAAUGCUUCGCGUCCCCGCUCUCCUCCCGCUUAAACCCUCAACCCCAACCAUCAGCUUGAGCCCCAUCCGCCGCAGCCAUGGCCGACGCCCCAAACCCCUCUCAGCCUCCUCCGCGCCUCCUCCCCCUUCGCCGGCUUCACGGUCGCCCAAGCCGACCCCGAAACCGGAACCACCAAAACCCAAACACGAGACCCGCAGCCAAAACCCAGAGGAUCCCGCCGCCGCAGGGUUCCCCGCGACGAAGCCGCGCAAGCCGCGCCGCGGGCGCCGUGGCGAGACGGUGGCAGUGGAGGACUUCGUCCGCGGCCGCCUCGAGCAGGUCUUCGCCUCCAUCCGGGAGCGCAACCCCGAGGUCCUCGAAGGUAAGGGCGACAUCCUGAAGCAGAAGGACCAGGAGGAGCAGUUAUCCGAUGAGGAGGAGAGGGAAAAGCCGGAGGAUGGAGAGGGGGAGCAGAAACCCGUGGUGGAUGAGGAGGACCCGAGCUGGCCGCUGGACGCCGACGUCGGGUGGGGGAUUCGGGCUUCGGAGUACUUCGACAAGCACUCGAUCAAGAACGUGACGGUGAACGGGGUGGAGAUCGAUUGGGAAGGGGAGGUCGACGAGGGCUGGGUCAAGGAGAUCAAUUGCUUGGAGUGGGAGGGAUUCGCCUUCCACCCCAGCCCACUGGUUGUCCUAGUAUUCGAGCGCUACAACCGGGCUGCUGACAAUUGGAAGUUUCUUCAAGAAUUGGAAAAGGCUGCUAAGGUAUACUGGAACACUAAAGAUCGGCUGCCUCCUCGGACCGUGAAAGUUGAUAUAAAUAUCGAGAGAGAUUUGGCAUAUGCACUUCAAGUAAAAGAAUGUCCACAAUUAUUGUUCCUCAGGGGAAAUAAGAUCUUAUAUAGAGAAAAAGAGAUAAGAACUGCGGACGAGCUAGUCCAAAUGAUUGCCCAUUUUUACUACAAUGCAAAGAGGCCAUCCUGCGUUAAUCCUGAAGCCAUUGCUCCUCUCUAAGUUCCUGCACACAAGUCCUGAGAUACUGCCCUAUUCUUGACUUUGUGCCAGUGCUUUCUGGAAAAAUAUGCUCCUAAUUUGGUCAUUUUCCAGGCAUGCUAGUUAUGCCAGUGUGAAGCUGAUGCUUGAACGUCCAAAAUAUACCUGGAAGAAAACCCAUCUCAAUGGUGGUUGCCCCAAGUUGGGAAGGUGUUGAACUAAAUCAUGUAUUUCGAUAAGCUUGAAUUCAUCGUAGUAUAGUCUACCAAAACACAGCUUUCAUCUGUCAUUAUGAUAUUCUGGAUAGUACAGGGGAGAGUGCUUAGUUCAA